GACGUAGGGCGCGAGCGUUGUCCGGAUUUAUUGGGCGUAAAGAGCUCGUAGGCGGCUUGUCGCGUCGACUGUGAAAUCCCGCGGCUCAACUGCGGGUCUGCAGUCGAUACGGGCAGACUAGAGUUCGGCAGGGGAGACUGGAAUUCCUGGUGUAGCGGUGAAAUGCGCAGAUAUCAGGAGGAGCACCGGUGGCGAAGGCGGGUCUCUGGGCCGAUACUGACGCUGAGGAGCGAAAGCGUGGGGAGCGAACAGG
rnacentral:rRNA from 1 species